rnacentral:rRNA from 1 species
AACGAACGCUGGCGGCAGGCCUAACACAUGCAAGUCGAACGCUGUAGCAAUACAGAGUGGCAGACGGGUGAGUAACGCGUGGGAACCUUCCCAAUGGUGCGGAAUAGCCCAGGGAAACUUGGGGUAAUACCGCAUAAGCCCUUAGGGGGAAAGAUUUAUCGCCAUUGGAUGGGCCCGCGUCGGAUUAGCUAGUUGGUGAGGUAAUGGCUCACCAAGGCAACGAUCCGUAGCUGGUUUGAGAGAAUGACCAGCCACACUGGGACUGAGACACGGCCCAGACUCCUACGGGAGGCAGCAGUGGGGAAUCUUGGACAAUGGGCGCAAGCCUGAUCCAGCCAUGCCGCGUGAGUGACGAAGGCCUUAGGGUUGUAAAGCUCUUUUGCCGGGGACGAUAAUGACGGUACCCGGAGAAUAAGUCCCGGCUAACUUCGUGCCAGCCGCCGCCGUAAAAC